GACAGAGGUCCCGAGCGUUAGGCGGAAUCACUGGGCUUAAAGCGUGUGUAGGCGGAUCGUUAAGUGCCUUGUGAAAUCCCACGGCUCAACCGUGGAACUGCUUGGCAUACUGGCGAUCUUGAGCCACUUAGGGGCUACCGGAACAAAUGGUGGAGCGGUGAAAUGCGUAGAUAUCAUUUGGAACGCCAAUGGUGAAAACAGGUAGCUGGGAGUGUGCUGACGCUGAGACACGAAAGCCAGGGGAGCAAACGGG
rnacentral:rRNA from 1 species